UACGUAGGGACCGAGCGUUGUCCGGAUUCAUUGGGCGUAAAGAGCUCGUAGGCGGUUUGUCGCGUCGACUGUGAAAACCCGAGGCUUAACCUCGGGCCUGCAGUCGAUACGGGCAGACUAGAGUUCGGUAGGGGAGACUGGAAUUCCUGGUGUAGCGGUGAAAUGCGCAGAUAUCAGGAGGAACACCUGAGGUGAAGACGGGUUGCUGGGCUGACACUGACGCUGAGGCGCGAAAGCUAGGGUAGCAAACGGG
rnacentral:rRNA from 1 species